rnacentral:lncRNA from 1 species
CUUCCUGUACACACGCAGGGCACGAAAUGUUCCCCUUUGACCCUUUGAUGGAUAACCACAAUGACUAGAGGGAACUGCUCCAGUGGAGAUGGAGAGGCGCUCCUCCUAGUGAGAGAGUCCCACAUUCCGCCUUCUCUGAGGUCACCGUGAGACCGCGAGGUCUGGACCUUAGCUGGGCUUUCUGCUUUUCUGGAGGUCUCCCCUGCAGAGUCAGUGAGAGAGAAGGCAAGGGAGGAUGUCAGUCUCAACUAAAUGAUGAUAAAGAUCAACUUUAUUAUUCGCCAACGGCAGAGAGUGAAAGAACACUGCCUCUGAGGACCCAGAUCCUCACUUUCCUCUUGGAGCCUCUUUGAGGUGCAUGAUCCUUGCUGAGAAGAAUGUGCAAACACAUGCGUGCCAUGCAGAGAGCUCGGGAGUGUCUACUGUGAAGGGGGAAUGAUUAUUUUUGCUGGAAAUUGUGGCUAAUGCUGUAUUUCAUUAACAUUAUUUUUCAGCUAUACUUAACUCAGUAAACCUUGAUUACCCUAAAUCAGAGGCCCCUCAAACCACACGACCUAUAACUAAUAAAGAUAACUGUAAAAAGAAACA